GACUUGGUGGCUUAACUGGUAAGCACAUCUGCGGUCAUGACGAAUACGUAGAUGAUCCUCGGUUCGAAUCCGAGUCGAGCCC